rnacentral:rRNA from 1 species
CCUACGGGAGGCAGCAGUGGGGGAUAUUGCACAAUGGGGGAAACCCUGAUGCAGCGACGCCGCGUGUGGGAAGACGGUCCUCUGGAUUGUAAACCACUGUCCCCAGGGACGAAGAUGACGGUACCUGGGGAUGACGCUCCGGCUAACUACGUGCCAGCAGCCGCGGUAAUACGUAGGGAGCAAGCGUUGUCCGGAAUUACUGGGUGUAAAGGGAGCGUAGGCGGGAUGGCAAGUUGGGUGUUAAAUCUACCGGCUCAACUGGGAGUCGCACUCAAAACUGCUAUUCUUGAGUGAAGUAGAGGCAGGCGGAAUGCCGAGGGGAGCGGUGAAAUGCGUAGAUAUUAGGAAGAACACCAAUGGAGAAGGCAGCCUGCUGGGGCUUUACUGACGCUGAGGCACGAAAGUGUGGGGAGCAAACAGGAUUAGAUACCCCAGUAGUC